rnacentral:rRNA from 1 species
GAUGAACGCUGGCGGCGUGCCUAAUACAUGCAAGUCGAGCGAAGAGACGCAGCGCUUGCUCUUCAGUCGUUAGCAGCGGACGGGUGAGUCACACGUAGAUUACCUUCCUAUAUGACUGGGAUAACUUCGGGAAACCGGAGCUAAUACCGGAUACUAUCAUCACCCGCAUGGUGUUAUAGUGAAAGAUGGUUUUGCUGUGACUUAUAGAUGGAUCAGCGCGGUAUUAGCUAGUUGGUAAGGUAACGGCUUACCAAGGAGACGACGCGUAGACGACGCGGGAGGGUGGUCGGCCACACGGGAGCUGAAACACCCUCCAUGCGCCUACGGGAGGCAGCAGAAUGCUACCGUCCGCAGUAGUCGAAAGCCUUACGGAGCAGCGCCACGUGAGAUAUGAAGGUCUUCGGUGCGGAAAGCUGUGUUACUAGUUAUGAACAAAUUUGAAAGUAAAAAUGCACGACUUGACGGUACCUAAACAGGAAGCCACGGCUAACUACGUG